GCGCGCGCUAGGCCGUUGAGUUAGUUAAUUGUGAAAUCCCAAAGCUUAACUUUGGAACUGCAAUUAAAACUGCUCGACUAGAGUUUGAUAGAGGAAAGCGGAAUACAUAGUGUAGAGGUGAAAUUCGUAGAUAUUAUGUAGAACACCAGUUGCGAAGGCGGCUUUCUGGAUCAACACUGACGCUGAGGCGCGAAAGUAUGGGUAGCAAAGAGGAUUAGAUACCCUCGUAGUCCAUACCAUAAACGAUGAUUGCUAGAUGUUGGAAAUUUAUUUUCAGUAUCGCAGCUAACGCAUUAAGCAAUCCGCCUGGGGAGUACGACCGCAAGGUUAAAACUCAAAUGAAUUGACGGGGACCCGCACAAGCGGUGGAGCAUGUGGUUUAAUUCGAAGAUACGCGCAGAACCUUACCAACCCUUGACAUGUCUGUCGCGAGUUUAGGAAACUAGACUUUUCGGUUCGGCCGGACAGAACACAGGUGCUGCAUGGCUGUCGUCAGCUCGUGUCGUGAGAUGUUGGGUUAAGUCCCGCAACGAGCGCAACCCCUACUUUUAGUUGCCAUCAGGUCAUGCUGGGCACUCUGAAAGAACUGCCAGUGAUAAGCUGGAGGAAGGUGGGGAUGACGUCAAGUCCUCAUGGCCCUUACGGGUUGGGCUACACACGUGCUACAAUGGUAGUGACAAUGAGAUGCAAAGUGGCGACGCUAAGCUA
rnacentral:rRNA from 1 species